rnacentral:misc_RNA from 1 species
GGUUGUACCUGUUGAGGUGGCUGCUGCUGCGUCCAUUGCUGUUGAUACUGAUUGAAUUGUUGUGGCGGUGGAGUUUGACUUAGCUGGGGAUUAGUCAUUUGUGAUGGCAACCGAGAAACAUCUGGAAGUUGUUGAUAUUGGGUCUGAGCAUGCUGGAUAUGGGUUGGUUGACUUGGCAUUUGGUUUGAAGGGAUGUAAUAAGAUUGCUGUUGAGGCACAUUCUGUGGCAAAGCUGCUGGAGGGGGUGGUGUAAUAGGAUUUUGCUGUGGAACAAUCU